rnacentral:rRNA from 1 species
GGGUUGUGAGGUUAAGCGACUAAGCGUACACGGUGGAUGCCCUGGCAGUCAGAGGCGAUGAAGGACGUGCUAAUCUGCGAUAAGCGUCGGUAAGGUGAUAUGAACCGUUAUAACCGGCGAUUUCCGAAUGGGGAAACCCAGUGUGAUUCGUCACACUAUCAUUAACUGAAUCCAUAGGUUAAUGAGGCGAACCGGGGGAACUGAAACAUCUAAGUACCCCGAGGAAAAGAAAUCAACCGAGAUUCCCCCAGUAGCGGCGAGCGAACGGGGAGCAGCCCAGAGCCUGAAUCAGUGUGUGUGUUAGUGGAAGCGUCUGGAAAGGCGCGCGAUACAGGGUGACAGCCCCGUACACAAAAAUGCACAUAUUGUGAGCUCGAUGAGUAGGGCGGGACACGUGGUAUCCUGUCUGAAUAUGGGGGGACCAUCCUCCAAGGCUAAAUACUCCUGACUGACCGAUAGUGAACCAGUACCGUGAGGGAAAGGCGAAAAGAACCCCGGCGAGGGGAGUGAAAAAGAACCUGAAACCGUGUACGUACAAGCAGUGGGAGCACAGAGCAAUCUGUGUGACUGCGUACCUUUUGUAUAAUGGGUCAGCGACUUAUAUUCUGUAGCAAGGUUAACCGAAUAGGGGAGCCGAAGGGAAACCGAGUCUUAACUGGGCGUUAAGUUGCAGGGUAUAGACCCGAAACCCGGUGAUCUAGCCAUGGGCAGGUUGAAGGUUGGGUAACACUAACUGGAGGACCGAACCGACUAAUGUUGAAAAAUUAGCGGAUGACUUGUGGCUGGGGGUGAAAGGCCAAUCAAACCGGGAGAUAGCUGGUUCUCCCCGAAAGCUAUUUAGGUAGCGCCUCGUGAAUUCAUCUCCGGGGGUAGAGCACUGUUUCGGCAAGGGGGUCAUCCCGACUUACCAACCCGAUGCAAACUGCGAAUACCGGAGAAUGUUAUCACGGGAGACACACGGCGGGUGCUAACGUCCGUCGUGAAGAGGGAAACAACCCAGACCGCCAGCUAAGGUCCCAAAGUCAUGGUUAAGUGGGAAACGAUGUGGGAAGGCCCAGACAGCCAGGAUGUUGGCUUAGAAGCAGCCAUCAUUUAAAGAAAGCGUAAUAGCUCACUGGUCGAGUCGGCCUGCGCGGAAGAUGUAACGGGGCUAAACCAUGCACCGAAGCUGCGGCAGCGACACUAUGUGUUGUUGGGUAGGGGAGCGUUCUGUAAGCCUGUGAAGGUGUACUGUGAGGUAUGCUGGAGGUAUCAGAAGUGCGAAUGCUGACAUAAGUAACGAUAAAGCGGGUGAAAAGCCCGCUCGCCGGAAGACCAAGGGUUCCUGUCCAACGUUAAUCGGGGCAGGGUGAGUCGACCCCUAAGGCGAGGCCGAAAGGCGUAGUCGAUGGGAAACAGGUUAAUAUUCCUGUACUUGGUGUUACUGCGAAGGGGGGACGGAGAAGGCUAUGUUGGCCGGGCGACGGUUGUCCCGGUUUAAGCGUGUAGGCUGGUUUUCCAGGCAAAUCCGGAAAAUCAAGGCUGAGGCGUGAUGACGAGGCACUACGGUGCUGAAGCAACAAAUGCCCUGCUUCCAGGAAAAGCCUCUAAGCAUCAGGUAACAUCAAAUCGUACCCCAAACCGACACAGGUGGUCAGGUAGAGAAUACCAAGGCGCUUGAGAGAACUCGGGUGAAGGAACUAGGCAAAAUGGUGCCGUAACUUCGGGAGAAGGCACGCUGAUAUGUAGGUGAAGUCCCUCGCGGAUGGAGCUGAAAUCAGUCGAAGAUACCAGCUGGCUGCAACUGUUUAUUAAAAACACAGCACUGUGCAAACACGAAAGUGGACGUAUACGGUGUGACGCCUGCCCGGUGCCGGAAGGUUAAUUGAUGGGGUCAGCGCAAGCGAAGCUCUUGAUCGAAGCCCCGGUAAACGGCGGCCGUAACUAUAACGGUCCUAAGGUAGCGAAAUUCCUUGUCGGGUAAGUUCCGACCUGCACGAAUGGCGUAAUGAUGGCCAGGCUGUCUCCACCCGAGACUCAGUGAAAUUGAACUCGCUGUGAAGAUGCAGUGUACCCGCGGCAAGACGGAAAGACCCCGUGAACCUUUACUAUAGCUUGACACUGAACAUUGAGCCUUGAUGUGUAGGAUAGGUGGGAGGCUUUGAAGUGUGGACGCCAGUCUGCAUGGAGCCGACCUUGAAAUACCACCCUUUAAUGUUUGAUGUUCUAACGUUGACCCGUGAUCCGGGUUGCGGACAGUGUCUGGUGGGUAGUUUGACUGGGGCGGUCUCCUCCUAAAGAGUAACGGAGGAGCACGAAGGUUGGCUAAUCCUGGUCGGACAUCAGGAGGUUAGUGCAAUGGCAUAAGCCAGCUUGACUGCGAGCGUGACGGCGCGAGCAGGUGCGAAAGCAGGUCAUAGUGAUCCGGUGGUUCUGAAUGGAAGGGCCAUCGCUCAACGGAUAAAAGGUACUCCGGGGAUAACAGGCUGAUACCGCCCAAGAGUUCAUAUCGACGGCGGUGUUUGGCACCUCGAUGUCGGCUCAUCACAUCCUGGGGCUGAAGUAGGUCCCAAGGGUAUGGCUGUUCGCCAUUUAAAGUGGUACGCGAGCUGGGUUUAGAACGUCGUGAGACAGUUCGGUCCCUAUCUGCCGUGGGCGCUGGAGAACUGAGGGGGGCUGCUCCUAGUACGAGAGGACCGGAGUGGACGCAUCACUGGUGUUCGGGUUGUCAUGCCAAUGGCACUGCCCGGUAGCUAAAUGCGGAAGAGAUAAGUGCUGAAAGCAUCUAAGCACGAAACUUGCCCCGAGAUGAGUUCUCCCUGACUCCUUGAGAGUCCUGAAGGAACGUUGAAGACGACGACGUUGAUAGGCCGGGUGUGUAAGCGCAGCGAUGCGUUGAGCUAACCGGUACUAAUGAACCGUGAGGCUUAACCUUACAACGCCGAAGGUGUUU